ACCUGUUCCUUGUCUAAGUGUUCUCACCUGUUACUCUUGUUAACUCCCUUUAUGUGUGUGCUCUUUCCCUCAUGUGUUGCCAGUUCGUUGAAUGUUGUGCUACUGUUUAAAUCUGUGCUACUUAGCUAGUUUCUUGUUACCUAAGUCUAUUGUGUUUUAUUUGUAGAAGUUUGUUAGUGCUUUAGUUCUGCCAUUGGUCCUGUCUGUCUUGUCUCCUGAGUCUCUAGUUCCAGUCCUGCUAGCAGAGCGUCCCUGGCUGCUUGCACUCUGUGCUUUGGUGCAAGCCUGGUGCUUAGCCUGAGAUCCCUGAGUGCCUUGCUGUUGUCCUUGGAGGUUCCUGUCUGGCUAUUGCUAGUACUCUCAGGUCUCUUUCUGCUCUGCAAACACUACUCUCCAGCCUACAGUCUUCUUGUGCUAGCUACAGCUGCUGCUCUGCAAGUUUUGCUGCAACGGCUGUCUUUGUGUCUCAUCCCUGCCUUUUGUCUGGACUGUUCACCUCUCCCACCACAUCUUGUCUACUGUUUGUCAAUAAACCUGUUAACACUC